rnacentral:rRNA from 2 species
UUUUGCAUAUUCCAAUAGCGGAGGAAAAGAAACUAACUAGGAUUCCCUUAGUAACGGCGAGUGAACCGGGAUGAGCUCAAAUUUGAAAUCUGGCGUCUUUCAGGCGUCCGAGUUGUAAUCUAUAGAGGCGUUUUCCGCGCCGGACCGCGUCCAAGUCUCUUGGAAUAGAGUAUCAAAGAGGGUGACAAUCCCGUACUUGACGCGACAACCGGUGCUCUGUGAUACGUUCUCAAUGAGUCGAGUUGUUUGGGAAUGCAGCUCUAAAUGGGUGGUAAAUUCCAUCUAAGGCUAAAUAUUGGCGAGAGACCGAUAGCGAACAAGUACCGUGAGGGAAAGAUGAAAAGCACUUUGGAAAGAGAGUUAAACAGCACGUGAAAUUGUUAAAAGGGAAACGAUUGAAGUCAGUCGUGUGAGGGGUAUUCAGCCGUCUCUGGCGGUGUAUUUGCCUCUCACGGGUCAACAUCAGUUUGAUCCGGUAGAAAAAGGCGGGAGGAAGGUGGCACCCUCGGGUGUGUUAUAGCCUCCUGUCAUAUGUGCCGGACCAGACUGAGGAACGCAGCUUGCAGCAAUGCCGGGAUUCGUCCACGUACAAGCUUAGGAUGUUGACAUAAUGGCUUUAAACGACCCGUCUUAA